rnacentral:rRNA from 1 species
AGCGGCGGACGGGGGAGUAACGCGUGGGUAACCUGCCUCAUACAGGGGGAUAACAGUUAGAAAUGACUGCUAAUACCGCAUAAGACCACGGCACCGCAUGGUACAGUGGUAAAAACUCCGGUGGUAUGAGAUGGACCCGCGUCUGAUUAGGUAGUUGGUGGGGUAACGGCCUACCAAGCCGACGAUCAGUAGCCGACCUGAGAGGGUGACCGGCCACAUUGGGACUGAGACACGGCCCAG